UACGUAGGGUGCAAGCGUUGUCCGGAAUUUAUUGGGCGUAAAGAGCUCGUAGGCGGUCUGUCGCGUCUGCUGUGAAAACUCAGGGCUUAACCCUGAGCUUGCAGUGGGUACGGGCAGACUAGAGUGCGGUAGGGGAGACUGGAAUUCCUGGUGUAGCGGUGAAAUGCGGCAGGAUAUCAGGAGGAACACCGGUGGGCGAAGG
rnacentral:rRNA from 1 species